GCCUGCAGGACUGCCUGACUAACACACACUCAACACUCCUGCUGCAGGGUCAGGGGUGUCAGCGUGAAAAUGAUACAUUUUCAGCUGUCUGUGCUGCUUGCUUUGGGAUUCAUCACACUGAUCAACGGCCAGUGUGUGGUGGACUUCCAAAAUGGCACAGUUUCCAACAACGGUUCAUCUUGCUCUUCAUUCUCAAACUCGACACUCAACAGCACCCUCUCCUGCGCGGGCAUACAGCUCUCAGACUACUCCCUGGCCAAUCUCCAAAAUCUCAAAGCAUAUACCGACGCCACCUUUGACCUUUACACAUUACUGAGAUCUAGACUUGACGCUAGUCUUGUCGUGAGCUACAUCAAUAACAUCAGGACAAAAGGCUCGGUUGCGGGCUCAUUGAGCGAUGUGGAUUUCGCUAGGCUGUGGUUUCAAGUAAAGCUCAGUCCAUUCCUGUCCUCGCUGUCCAGAGACACGCUGUCCUGUCUCAGUCGAAGCAGUUUCACCUGCCAGAGCUUCCAAGCACUGGUAAAUGAUUUAAGCGUGCAGAUUGGUCCUGAAAGACAAAGGAUGGUGUAUCAAAACUUCAUAAAACCCUUUCUGGCAAGAAAUACAACUGACGCUGGCUGUGUGAACAGCACAAACAGCACCGGGCAAUGGCUGCUACUCAACUUCCAGUCAUUCUCUUCUAUUGCAAGCCUAGGAGAUUUCAUAGCUCUGAAACCAGACUUUAAUGGGCUGGUGGUCCUAGGUAAACUCACGCCGGAGCAGAAAGCUGAACUGAUGUUUCAGCUAGAAGCCAACUUUAGCCUGAACGCUGAUGCCGUCAGUCAGAUCUUCCAGAGUUUCCUGCAGCCCCUCAUCAACAUGACACUGAACCUGACCAGCACCAGUUCAGGGCUCCUCGACA
rnacentral:lncRNA from 1 species